rnacentral:rRNA from 1 species
CCUACGGGGGACUGCAGUGAGGAAUAUUGGUCAAUGGGCGCGAGCCUGAACCAGCCAAGUAGCGUGAAGGAUGCCUGCCCUACGGGUUGUAAACUUCUUUUAUAAAGGAAUAAAGUGAGGCACGUGUGCCUUUUUGUAUGUACUUUAUGAAAAAGAAUCGGCUAACUCCGUGCCAGCAGCAGCGGUAAUACGGAGAAUCCGAACGUUAUCCGGAUUUAUUGGGUUUAAAGGGCGCGUAGAUGGGUUGUUAAGUCAGUUGUGAAAGUUUGCGGCUCAACCGUAAAAUUGCAAUUGAUACUGGCAGCCUUGAGUACAGUUGAGGUAGGCGGAAUUCGUGGUGUAGCGGUGAAAUGCUUAGAUAUCACGAAGAACUCCGAUUGCGAAGGCAGCUUACUAAACUGCCACUGACAUUGAUGCUCGAAAGUGUGGGUAUCAAACAGGAGUAGAUACCCGUGUAGUC